CUACGUGCCAGCAGCCGCGGUAAUACGUAGGGUGCGAGCGUUAAUCGGAAUUACUGGGCGUAAAGCGAGCGCAGACGGUUACUUAAGCAGGAUGUGAAAUCCCCGGGCUCAACCUGGGAACUGCGUUCUGAACUGGGUGACUAGAGUGUGUCAGAGGGAGGUAGAAUUCCACGUGUAGCAGUGAAAUGCGUAGAGAUGUGGAGGAAUACCGAAGGUGAAGGCAGCCCCUUGGGAAUGUACUGACGCUCAUGUGCGAAAGCGUGGGGAGCAAACAGGAUUAGAUACCCUGGUAGUCCACGCCCUAAACGAUGUCAAUUAGCUGUUGGGCAACUUGAUUGCUUAGUAGCGUAGCUAACGCGUGAAAUUGACCGCCUGGGGAGUACGGUCGCAAGAUUAAAACUCAAAGGAAUUGACGGGGACCCGCACAAGCGGUGGAUGAUGUGGAUUAAUUCGAUGCAACGCGAAGAACCUUACCUGGUCUUGACAU
rnacentral:rRNA from 1 species